GACGAACCGUGCGACCGUUAUUCGGAAUCACUGGGCUUAAAGCGCGUGUAGGCGGGACGGCACGUCGGUCGCUGAAAUCCCCCGGCUCAACCGGGGAACGGGCGCCGAUACGACCGUCCUGGAGGGACGUAGGGGGACCUGGAACUUCCGGUGGAGCGGUGAAAUGCGUUGAGAUCGGAAGGAACGCCCGUGGCGAAAGCGAGGUCCUGGACGUUUUCUGACGCUGAGACGCGAAAGCCAGGGGAGCGAACGGG
rnacentral:rRNA from 1 species